rnacentral:lncRNA from 1 species
UUCCCUUCCGUUGCUGAGGCGGCGGGAGCCACGUCCGGACAAACUAAGCUGAGGUCUUCUGAGGGAGUCGGCUGGCAAAGCAGCUCCGGUAGCGGGGCGGCAGCGGGGGUCAGUCAGGCUGCGACGGCGGUGCCAGGGCCCCGCUGAGCCCGCCCGCUCCUGGCACCGGGAGCCUGCCUGCGAGGUGGCCCGAGCCGAGAGGCAGCAAGUGAAGCUGUGAGGAGUUGGAGGCUCCCAGGGCAAAGCCUCAGACACCUGCGUGAUCUCGGGUUCCAGCCGUCCUUCCUAGCGCACCACCAAGCCGACCCUGACUUCCUGUGCAGCAUGCUCGGCCGCCUUAUGGUCGCCCAAGUGAGAAAAGUCCAAAGAUUUAUCACCCUGUCUUUGUAGUCGAAUUCUGAAGUCCAUCAACACUGCACCCUCAGAGCUACUCAUGGUUUCAGGUAUGCUCAUCUUCUGUUACUCUGGUUGUGAGUGAAAAUCCAGAGAAAAAUAGGUACCAGCUGAGGUAAUGAAAAUGCAGGCAGAGGUGAGUAGGAAAUUCUUCAACUAAAAUUGCAUUUCUGUUGCCAGCAGAUGAGAAGUACUCCUAUUUGUGUGGC